UUCCAACCACUCACGUAUGCCUAAAGCUCGCUCUGCACACCCCAAGAAAUUAGGAUUCUUUGCAGCGUACUCAUUGGCCUUGUAAAAAACCCCUACAAUCUUUUUGCUCCCUGCAGAAGCAUGCAAGCAUCUAGCAAAAGCUGAAGAGCCAGAUAUCCCAGAAGAUGAUGCGAAAGAGCGAAUUGCAGAGUUAGCAGCAAGCUUCAUCGCCAUUUUUCGAGCUGGAGAGCUACAGUUGAAUUGAAGGAAACAAAAUGAAGAACAAAUUGAGGCGUAAUUUGGAUGGAAAAGAGAAAUGACGUGUCUUCUUGUGUAAAA
rnacentral:misc_RNA from 1 species